AGAGUUUGAUCCUGGCUCAGGACGAACGCUGGCGGCGUGCUUAACACAUGCAAGUCGAGCGAGGCCCACUCUUCGGGGUGGUGCCCUAGCGGCGAACGGGUGAGUAACACGUGGGCAACCUGCCCUCAGCUCUGGGAUAACUCCAAGAAAUUGGUGCUAAUACCGGAUGUGACCGCUGACCGCAUGGUCUGGUGGUGGAAAGAUUCAUCGGCUGAGGAUGGGCCCGCGGCCUAUCAGCUUGUUGGUGGGGUGAUGGCCUACCAAGGCGACGACGGGUAGCCGGCCUGAGAGGGUGACCGGCCACACUGGGACUGAGACACGGCCCAGACUCCUACGGGAGGCAGCAGUGGGGAAUAUUGCGCAAUGGGCGAAAGCCUGACGCAGCGACGCCGCGUGAGGGAUGACGGCCUUCGGGUUGUAAACCUCUUUCAGCAGGGACGAAGCGAAAGUGACGGUACCUGCAGAAGAAGCACCGGCCAACUACGUGCCAGCAGCCGCGGUAAUACGUAGGGUGCAAGCGUUGUCCGGAAUUAUUGGGCGUAAAGAGCUCGUAGGCGGUCUGUCACGUCGGCUGUGAAAACCCGAGGCUCAACCUCGGGCCUGCAGUCGAUACGGGCAAACUAGAGUGUUGCAGGGGAGACUGGAAUUCCUGGUGUAGCGGUGAAAUGCGCAGAUAUCAGGAGGAACACCGGUGGCGAAGGCGGGUCUCUGGGCAACAACUGACGCUGAGGAGCGAAAGCGUGGGGAGCGAACAGGAUUAGAUACCCUAGUAGUCC
rnacentral:rRNA from 1 species